rnacentral:pre_miRNA from 1 species
AAUAUACUCCCUCCGUUCGGAAUUACUUGUCGCAGAAAUGGGUGUAUCUAGACGUAUUUUAGUUCUAGAUACAUCCAUUUCUGAGACAAGUAAUUCCGAAUGGAGGGAGUACCUC